CGGGGUGUAGCGCAGCUUGGUAGCGCAUUUGACUGGGGGUCAAAAGGUCGCAGGUUCAAAUCCUGUCACCCCGA
rnacentral:tRNA from 1 species